UUUUACACUUACACCCUUAAGUUGAAGAAAAGAUCACAGCCAGACCCUCGGGCGAGGCGGACAAAGGUUGGCAAACAGACAGGGUCGGACGAGACGGAACUGGGGUCGGGCGGAUAGGAGGGGUCGGUCGAGGCGGACUUAGGGUCGGCACUCACCUUCUUCCUGAAAGGAAAGCUUGGGGUCGGGAAGAGGCAGACUUGGGCACUGAACUAAAGCUUUGAGCAGGGACUAA
rnacentral:lncRNA from 1 species